UACGUAGGGUGCAAGCGUUGUCCGGAAUUACUGGGCGUAAAGAGCUCGUAGGUGGUUUGUCGCGUUGUCCGUGAAAACUCACAGCUCAACUGUGGGCGUGCGGGCGAUACGGGCAGACUGGAGUACUGCAGGGGAGACUGGAAUUCCUGGUGUAGCGGUGGAAUGCGCAGAUAUCAGGAGGAACACCGGUGGCGAAGGCGGGUCUCUGGGCCGAUACUGACGCUGAGGAGCGAAAGCGUGGGGAGCAAACAGG
rnacentral:rRNA from 1 species